rnacentral:tRNA from 1 species
AUUAAUAUGACAGAAAAUUGUAAUGAAUUUAAAAUUCAUAUAUACUUUAAAUUUAAAGUUAUUAAUA